rnacentral:rRNA from 1 species
UUGUUGCCUCGGCGGAUCAGCCCGCUCCCGGUAAAACGGGACGGCCCGCCAGAGGACCCCUAAACUCUGUUUCUAUAUGUAACUUCUGAGUAAAACCAUAAAUAAAUCAAAACUUUCAACAACGGAUCUCUUGGUUCUGGCAUCGAUGAAGAACGCAGCAAAAUGCGAUAAGUAAUGUGAAUUGCAGAAUUCAGUGAAUCAUCGAAUCUUUGAACGCACAUUGCGCCCGCCAGUAUUCUGGCGGGCAUGCCUGUUCGAGCGUCAUUUCAACCCUCAAGCCCCCGGGUUUGGUGUUGGGGAUCGGCGAGCCCUUGCGGCAAGCCGGCCCCGAAAUCUAGUGGCGGUCUCGCUGCAGCUUCCAUUGCGUAGUAGUAAAACCCUCGCAACUGGUACGCGGCGCGGCCAAGCCGUUAAACCCCCAACUUCUGAAUGUUGACCUCGGAUCAGGUAGGAAUACCCGCUGAACUUAAGCAUAUCU